CAGGUGGAGAUUUUUGGGGGAUUUGGCGCCGGCAUUAACAUGGAACCAAUAUAAAUGGCAUGCCAAAUUGUAGUGGAUGAACAAAUUUGCCGCUUCAUAUGCGAGUGUGGCAAUAAAAACUUGUAGAGCCAAAGCCAAAUGCGAUUUGGGGGGCAUUUGUUUUAAAUUACCCUGGCGUGUAAGUGAUGAACUGGUGUGUCUUGUAACAGCAAAUUGAGCAGUCGCCAUAAAACAACAAACAAACUUAGCCGUUCUGCGGCACUACCACCAGCACGACGACCAGCAAAAGGAAAAAAGAGAGCAUUGAACUCGCCCCACCAGUGGAUUCCCCGAAAAAAUACAUGGAGCUACAUGAUGAGCCAUAAAACUAUUGCAGUUAUUUGGAGUAGAUUGCACGGGCGGCGAUACCCAGAUACUUAUGGGAUAAGGUGGAAUAAAUAUUUCCGUUGGCGGCCAAAAGGCGAUUGCGAUUCAGGCCAAAGCCCCUCUAAUGCCAACUUAUCCAGUUCCUAUCAUAAAUACCAGUUUGUGAGACCGUGGUGUUUCUGCUUUCGAACCUAAGAGCUCUGAAAAUAAAGGGGAAACGUGAGA